rnacentral:lncRNA from 1 species
UUUUUCUCAUCUCUCUCUAAAUUAAAUUAAAAUUCAUACACUGUUCGGCAAUUUCUUCUCUCUCAAUCGCACAGUCACAUCAAAAGGGACCUGAGAACCCUUCCUACAAAUCGCAGAUAAAACAUGAUCUAAUCGGCCCCUCAUGAUAGCCCUCUCGCAACUCUCAGGCUUUGAGAGAUUAUCAUGCUUUUGACCAUUUGAGGUGUUUGCUUUGGAAAUACAUCUAAGCUCAAUGGAGAAGAAAGAGACGAGCGAAAAUGCAUGUUUAGGUUGAUAAAUGUAUAUAACGAGUUGACGUUAGUGUAUAUAAUUUUGAACAAUUUUAAUUUGCACACGUGUACACAUUUUUUAUCCGAACACAUGAGU